GCCCGGGUGGUGAAAUGGCAUACACGCAGGACUUAAAAUCCUGUGACUUUAAGUCGUGAGGGUCCGACUCCCUCCCCGGGCA
rnacentral:tRNA from 1 species